rnacentral:rRNA from 1 species
ACGGGUGAGUAACGCGUGAGCAAUCUGCCCUUCGGUGGGGGACAACAGCUGGAAACGGCUGCUAAUACCGCAUAAUGUAUUCGGGUGGCAUCAUCUGAAUACCAAAGAUUUAUCGCCGAAGGAUGAGCUCGCGUCUGAUUAGCUAGUUGGUAGGGUAACGGCCUACCAAGGCUUCGAUCAGUAGCCGGACUGAGAGGUUGAACGGCCACAUUGGGACUGAGAUACGGCCCAGACUCCUACGGGAGGCAGCAGUGGGGAAUAUUGGGCAAUGGGCGAAAGCCUGACCCAGCAACGCCGCGUGAAGGAAGAAGGCCUUCGGGUUGUAAACUUCUUUGACCAGGGACGAAGAAUGUGACGGUACCUGGAAAACAAGCCACGGCUAACUACGUGCCAGCAGCCGCGGUAAUACGUAGGUGGCAAGCGUUGUCCGGAUUUACUGGGUGUAAAGGGCGCGUAGGCGGGAUUGCAAGUCAGAUGUGAAAUGCUGGGGCUUAACCCUGGAACUGCAUUUGAAACUGUGAUUCUUGAGUAUCGGAGAGGCAGGCGGAAUUCCUAGUGUAGCGGUGAAAUGCGUAGA